GAUUUUUCACUAAUUAUGUCUUUUAAUCAUGGUUAUUAUUCAUUUAUUUUUUCUUGAAUUUGAAAAAUUGAAAGUGAAUACUUUUUAUUCGGUUUGAACCGUAAACCGAACCACACCAAACCGUAUAUUUUCAGUUUAGUUUGGUUUGGUUUAUAAUUUAAAAUGGUUUGGUUUGGUUUGAAAUUUUUUCAAACUGUUUUUUUCAGUUUGGGUUGAAAAAUAUUGUAAACCACACUAAACCGGACCGUGCACACCCCUAAUGUACAGCCUAGAGAAGUAGCUUGAGCAUUAAGAGAAAGGAUUCCAAGCACAAGAGAGAAAGGGUUGAAAUUCACUUAAGUGACAUUUCAGGAUUAAAUUUUGUAAUAUUUAAAGAUUAAAUUCUUAAUUUAUCUGGUUAAACUUUUGAUUUACUUAAUGGAACGUUUAUGAAAUUAAUCACUACAUUCAAGGUUUUAUUUGUUUGAUAUUGAGUUUGUCCUUAAAGGACAAUUCAGCUCAAGUAAGGUUGCCUUAUUUAAAAAGAAAACGUGCAUAUAUCAAGUUUUUAGUCAUUUGUGUAAACUAUGUCUUUAUUUCUUUCAAUCUCGUAGUGCAAAGAACAGUCAGCAUGAAAUUUUCAGAAACUGUGGAUUAAAUAGUAGUCUGUAUCAGUAUUUAACCUCAGUUUUAUUUUCUUUUGAGAUUAUCUCUCUCCCUCUGAGAAUUCUGCUCUGUCUCUAGCAGUUGGAGAAUUUUGUCACAAAGCUCCAUGUGGGGUUUAGGUCUGUCAGCAGUCAUUGAUGGAGGAGCUAGCUCAGGUUGUCGACUGGUUGAGGAUUCAUGUAUUUAUGAGAGCUUGUUUCAUGCCAUUUAAGGAUGUUAUUGGGAAGAUGAAUAUGGAUGUUAGGUCCUGCCAUUAUCAUCACUUUGCUUGUUAAAAAGGGCUCAGUUUUAAUGUAUGAAAGGGAGAUAUCAAUGAAAGUAGUCCAAUUUUGUGUUUAUUGUAUUAAAGGCAGUUGGUAAGGGACAAUAAAUUUCCUUUGCAGUAUAAUUAUGGUUUGUUACUUGAUGGUUAUCGCUAACUUGUAUAAUAUUGGUGAAUAAUUGAUGCUUAAGACUCAUCUUCAACA